UACAGGGGGGGCAAGCGUUGUUCGGAAUUACUGGGCGUAAAGGGCCAGUAGGCGGCCAACUAAGUCACACGUGAAAUCCCCAGGCUUAACCUGGGAACUGCGUGUGAUACUGGAUGGCUUGAAUUCGGGAGAGGGAUGCAGAAUUCCAGGUGUAGCGGUGAAAUGCGUAGAUAUCAGGAGGAACACCGGUGGCGAAGGCGGAUCUCUGGGCCUUACCUGACGCUCAGGUGCGAAAGCUAGGGGAGCGAACAGG
rnacentral:rRNA from 1 species